CCUACGGGAGGCAGCAGUGGGGAAUAUUGCACAAUGGGGGAAACCCUGAUGCAGCGACGCCGCGUGAGCGAUGACGUAUUUCGGUAUGUAAAGCUCUAUCAGCAGGGAAGAAACUGACGGUACCUGACUACGAAGCCCCGGCUAACUACGUGACAGCAGCCGCGGUAAUACGUAGGGGGCACGCGUUAUCCGGAUUUACUGGGUGUAAAGGGAGCGUAGACGGCUUGGCAAGCCAGAUGUGAAAGGGUGGGGUGCCACCCCAGGACUGCAUUUGGAACUGUCAUGCUAGAGUGUCGGAGAGGCAGGCGGAAUUCCUAGUGUAGCGGUGGAAUGCGUAGAUAUUAGGAGGAACACCAGUGGCGAAGGCGGCCUGCUGGACGAUGACUGACGUUGAGGCUCGAAAGCGUGGGGAGCAAACAGGAUUAGAUACCCGUGUAGUC
rnacentral:rRNA from 1 species